rnacentral:rRNA from 1 species
UACGUAGGGUGCGAGCGUUGUCCGGAAUUAUUGGGCGUAAAGAGCUCGUAGGCGGUUUGUCGCGUCGACUGUGAAAACUGGGGGCUUAACUCUCAGCUUGCAGUUGAUACGGGCAGACUUGAGUUCGGUAGGGGAGACUGGAAUUCCUGGUGUAGCGGUGAAAUGCGCAGAUAUCAGGAGGAACACCGGUGGCGAAGGCGGUUCUCUGGGACGGUACUGACGCUGAGACGCGAAAGCGUGGGGAGCGAACAGG